rnacentral:rRNA from 1 species
CCUACGGGAGGCUGCAGUGGGGGAUAUUGCACAAUGGGGGGAACCCUGAUGCAGCGACGCCGCGUGGGUGAAGGCGCGUUUCGGCGCGUAAAGCUCUAUCGGCAGGGAAGAAGAUGACGGUACCUGACCAGGAAGCUCCGGCUAACUACGUGCCAGCAGCCGCGGUAAUACGUAGGGGGCAAGCGUUAUCCGGAUUUACUGGGUGUAAAGGGGGCGCAGGCGGAAUGGCAAGUAGAAUGUAAAACCCAGCGGCCAAACCGGUGGCUGCGUUUGAAACUGCCGUGCUUGAGUUCAGUAGGGGCAGGCGGAAUUCCUAGUGUAGCGGUGAAAUGCGUAGAUAUUAGGAGGAACACCAGUGGCGAAGGCGGCCUGCUGGACUGUGACUGACGCUGAGGCCCGAAGGCGUGGGGAGCAAACAGGAUUAGAUACCCGAGUAGUC